GAUGAACGUUGGCGGCGUGCUUAACACAUGCAAGUCGAACGGAAAGGCCCAAGCUUGCUUGGGUACUCGAGUGGCGAACGGGUGAGUAACACGUGGGUGAUCUGCCCUGCACUUCGGGAUAAGCCUGGGAAACUGGGUCUAAUACCGGAUAGGACCACAUUUUGGAUGGUGUGGUGGAAAGUUUUUCGGUGUGGGAUGAGCUCGCGGCCUAUCAGCUUGUUGGUGGGGUAAUGGCCUACCAAGGCGUCGACGGGUAGCCGGCCUGAGAGGGUGUACGGCCACAUUGGGACUGAGAUACGGCCCAGACUCCUACGGGGGGCAGCAGUGGGGAAUAUUGCACAAUGGGCGCAAGCCUGAUGCAGCGACGCCGCGUGGGGGAUGACGGCCUUCGGGUUGUAAACUCCUUUCGCUAGGGACGAAGCGUUUUUGUGACGGUACCUGGAGAAGAAGCACCGGCUAACUACGUG
rnacentral:rRNA from 1 species